rnacentral:rRNA from 1 species
CCUACGGGAGGCAGCAGUGGGGAAUAUUGGACAAUGGGCGAAAGCCUGAUCCAGCAAUGCCGCGUGAGUGAUGAAGGCCUUAGGGUCGUAAAGCUCUUUUACCAGGGAUGAUAAUGACAGUACCUGGAGAAUAAGCUCCGGCUAACUCCGUGCCAGCAGCCGCGGUAAUACGGAGGGAGCUAGCGUUGUUCGGAAUUACUGGGCGUAAAGCGUGCGUAGGCGGUUAUUCAAGUCAGAGGUGAAAGCCCGGGGCUCAACCCCGGAACGGCCUUUGAAACUAGAUAACUAGAAUCUUGGAGAGGUCAGUGGAAUUCCGAGUGUAGAGGUGAAAUUCGUAGAUAUUCGGAAGAACACCAGUGGCGAAGGCGACUGACUGGACAAGUAUUGACGCUGAGGUACGAAAGUGUGGGGAGCAAACAGGAUUAGAUACCCUGGUAGUCCACGCCGUAAACGAUGAUAACUAGCUGUCCGGACACUUGGUGUUUGGGUGGCGCAGCUAACGCAUUAAGUUAUCCGCCUGGGGAGUACGGUCGCAAGAUUAAAACUUAAGGAAUUGACGG